UGUUUCGUUAUACUCUAUAGCUAACAUAAAGCGUAGUCAACUUAUUUUUCUGUAAUUGACCAUCAAGUGUCUGUUCUCUACCAGAAAGGAUAACUACGUUGUCAUACUGCUACUGUACUUUACCAUCAAGUACAUCAAGGAUCACUUUGCUCUUUAAAUGUUGUUUCCUGAGUUCAACAUAUCACGUGCUUGGGUUUGGCGUGAAUCAGUUGAUAACAAAACGGAAUGUAUAAAUACUUUACUCGGAAAAGAUUAACCAACAGAUUUGAUUUCAUCAAUGCCAAAAAGGUAGACAUAUAAGUAUACAUAAAGGUAGUAAGUAGACAUAAAGGUAGACAUAAAGGUAGACAUAAAGGUAGACACAAAGGAAGACAUAAAGGCAGACAUAAAGGCAGACAUAAAGUAGACAUAAAGGUAGACAUAAAGGCAGACAUAAAGGUAGACAUAAAGGUA